AAUCUCGUGGAGGGAGUGAACAGGUGUAUGAUCUCGAGUAACUCAUAAAUGUUACUGUUUAGUUCGCGCCAAGCCAUCGAUGUGCUUUCAUCAAUAAUUUUUUAAUACUCGUAAUUAGAUCGAUAUUUUAUGGAUUAAAUCGAUAAUCAAAAAUUGUUCAUGAUGGCAACAAAAUUGUGGAAAGCCUUUUCUCGGAAAAGAAUAGAUGAUGAUAUGGAAGGAAAAGGAGAAUUAGCACGAGUGUUAGGUCUCUUUGAUUUGACAGCAUUAGGAGUCGGCGCGACAUUGGGGUUAGGAGUCUACGUUCUAGCAGGGAGUGUAGCGAAGGACACUGCGGGACCAGCUGUCUGUAUUUCAUUUCUUAUUGCUGCAGUCGCAUCAGCCCUUGCAGGCUUAUGUUAUGCUGAGUUUGCUUCGCGAGUACCUAAAGCAGGAUCGGCUUAUGUCUACAGCUAUGUUACAGUUGGAGAAUUUAUUGCUUUUGUUAUUGGCUGGAAUUUAAUUCUUGAAUACGUGAUUGGUACAGCAAGUGUUGCUCGAGGUUUGAGUAAUUACGUUGAUUCUCUAAUUGACAAUAAAAUGCGGAAUUAUUUUCAUUCAAUUAUGCCAAUAGAAGUGUCAUUUCUUUCGGACUAUCCGGAUUUCUUCGCCUUCGGAGUGGUUAUGUUGCUCAUUGUUCUUCUGUGUGUUGGAGUUCAAGAAUCUUCGUACCUCAAUAUGGGAUUUACAGUUAUUAACUUGACGACUAUUUUAAUUGUCAUAGUUGCUGGAUCUAUUAAAGCUGAUCCAGCAAAUUGGAGCAUUGACCCGUCAACAAUUCCUCCAGAAAUCAAGAAUCCUGGAACAGGUGGAUUCAUGCCUUUUGGAAUAAGUGGAGUAAUGAUUGGAGCAGCCAAGUGUUUUUACGGAUUUGUUGGUUUUGAUGCUGUUGCUGCAACGGGCGAAGAAGCCAAAAAUCCACAAAAAACAAUUCCACUUGCAAUAGUGAUCUCUCUUGCUGUUAUUUUUGCAGCGUAUUUCUCCAUUUCUACUGUUCUGACGAUGAUGUGGCCCUACUACUUACAAGAUCCAGAAGCUCCAUUUCCUUACGCAUUCCAACAAAUUGGUUGGCCAGCAAUUAUGUGGAUUGUUAACGUCGGCGCUGUUUUUGCUCUUUGCACUAGUCUUCUUGGAGCAAUGUUUCCACUUCCGAGAAUUCUUUACGCGAUGGGAAGCGAUGGAGUAAUUUUUAAAUUUCUUGCUAAAGUACAUCGGAAAACUCACACACCAAUAUUAGGAACUCUAGCAUCUGGCUUAUUAAUCGGUUUGAUGACUCUUAUGUUCAAUCUUGAACAACUAAUCGACAUGAUGUCAAUUGGUACUCUUUUGGCGUACACAAUUGUCGCUAUCUCCGUCCUUAUUCUCAGGUACCAAAAGACAACUCAUACCGUAAAAUUACCUUCAAAUACAAUCCUAGAAAACAAUUUAUCAUAUUUAGAUUGUUUUAAAUUAAUUUUUAAUAUUCACAACCAAAAAGUUGCCACUAAAUUUUCAAGCAGAGUUGCAGGCUGGGCCGUUCUUCUCUUUUGUUCCCUUUGUACCGAUUGUACCGUGUUGCAGUAUAAUUAUUAAUCUUUGUCUUAUGCUGCAAUUAGAUGUCUUCACUUGGAUACGAUUCGUCGUGUGGAUGAUUAUAGGAUUUUGUAUUUAUUUCUUCUACGGUAUUCGACAUAGCUUACAAGGUCAACGAGAUAGAUUGUUAACUAAUCCACCUCCUCAUGCAUAUACGAAUCCUGUAAAAUUAGUAACUAAAUUUUAAGAAAAAAAUCAUCAAUUUU
rnacentral:misc_RNA from 1 species